UCCAGGCCAGUCAGUGAGCCGUUCCCACCAGAGCCUUAGAAAGUGAACGGGGAUAUGAUGGCAAGGGAGCCAUUUUUUUUCUUUUCAUGGAAUUCUGGGUACUGAGGUGAAUUUAGGCUUGCAGCUUUGCAGUAGCUGGGAGUCCAACUCUUUGAUGACAGAGGCCAAGAGUGAUUUCUUUGUGUAAAGAAUCUUGAGAAAGUAGAAGCCUUUGAAGAUGCUAAUUAGGGCAGAGGAGGACCCUCAGCCUGCUGAUCUUGGAUAGGAAGAUGCAGCCAUUCCUUCUUCUGGAGAGCCUCUGAAGCUCAGAGAAGAGUUGUGUGUGGCAAACAAUCGUCCCACACAGUGUGCCCUCGUUCCUCCUAAAAAACCCACUCGCAUUUAUUGUACUGACAGAGUUUCAGCUUUAUUCUGGGACUCUUCCUCCCUCAGAGUUGAAUUCUCCUCUGCUCAGCUCCUCCUUCACGCUCCUCCAUCUGCUUUGUGUGUUACAAGACACUGAAAUCCUAAAUAAUCUGAUGUGUCUCUCUUGGAUUCUCUGUAGACAGAAGAGAUAAACCUGAGAGUGGAGUCACUUUAGACUAGAAGCCCUAGGUCCUUUGGUUUUUUAAAAUGCCUCUUUAAUGUGCUCAAAAGUACACAGCCAGCCAUGACACAUGACAGCUUCUCUAGACCAUGCAGUCCCCAUGUUCUAUAAUUCUCUUUGUCAUUUGGUCCAACAUGAUCCUGGGGCCACUGGCUAGAGCUCUUGAUCAGAAGGACAAGAAGACAUCUCUACUGCUUGUCAAAGAACGAUGGAGAGGUAUCCCAGGUUAGGGCUUGGAGGAGGAAGCAGGUGAGUAGGAUACAGGAACAGCAGUCUACUCAGCUGAUGCUGAGAGCCUGUGUUGGUAGUGCAAGGAGCUGAGCGAUCGCCAGUGUGGGGCUCAAAGAGUGUAUCAGGUGAUAGAAGACAUCAGGUCUGUUAGAAACUUAAGCAAAAGUCCUUCUGAUGAGGGGAAGUUUGAGGCAGAAAAUAAUGUCGUCAGCAGUGUCAGUGGCACCCACAGAGGACAGUGACAGAUUGCACAGGCCCCCUCUCACAUUUCUGAACUCAUGGAAGCAACAAGCAAUGUGGAUACAUGAAAGCCACAGCUUGCCCAUGAGUUUCGACUUCCUUUCUCAAAGACUUUCUGCUGGAGCUUGCACACUGGGCAUGUCACCUCUUUGUCCUUCCCUUCCCAGCCUGCUGUAAGAGACUGGUAGGGCUGUAGAAGCACAUCCCUGGAGAGAGACCCCCAAGUUGUGUCAUUGACUUUUGCACAUCAGGGACAGAACCAGGCUGCUUCCCACAGUUCAGUUCCAUUCCUGAUGUAAUGUCCCCUCACUGCCUCCUCUGCAGCCCAGGUGGGUCACUCAGCAGUAACAUACGGAGCUCUUAGGAAGCACAGCAGCCUGCUGGCCCUCUGCAUGCUGAGCAGCCCUUUCCCACAGGCCUCUGGCUGUGCCUCUAGAAGGCAGCUGGACUUGACCCCCCUGCACAGAGGAAUCCUAUCUGCCUUAGCAGGUUUACACAGUUGCUUUUUUCAUUAUUUCCUCUGGGCUCCUCCUUUGAGAAGAUUUAAAACAGGUGCUUUUCCCCCUCCUUCUUGACUCCUGGCAGCCACCAACACCAUUCAGAAUCUGUCUCUUGGAAUUCCCGAGGCAUAUUUGUGAUGCUCUCAACUGUGGCUGAAUUUUCUGCUUUCUCAGGGUCCUGUCUCUCUGUCUGUAUGUGUCUCUGUCUCUACCAUAUUUUUGGUCGGCUGUCCCCAAGUUCUCACAGCCCUCUGGGUUUAAGACAGUAGCCUGUUAUAUCCAUCCUGUGCUCAGCAACAGAAUGGGAAGUUUAUUCCCUCAAAAAGCGCACAAAAAGCUUUCAAAGUCCCCUGAAUAAAAAUACCCCGUUACCACUUCCUUUGGAACAGAGGAGCUGUUUCUACCCUGAGGCCCCUCUUCCUUUAGGGCAAGCCCCAUAGCAGACAGGCAAUCACUCAUUUAUGAAAAUGAAAGAUUCAUGAGGGACGGUGCUGGGCUGCCAGCAGAGUUUAGGCAGAUUCUGAUCCUGCUUUAAUUUAAUUAAGCCCUGUUUAUUUAAUCAGCCCAGAGAUAUGUAUCCUCGGGCAGGAAUUUGCUGCCUGUUUCUGAGCUGUGCUUUUGUCUGUGGGAGGAUGAAAGCGGCGAUCUGCCUGGUAGUUUUUAAGGGUUUGGGGCCCAAGAGACAGCCUGGUGGUCUGGAGUCAGGCCAGGCACUGUGGGGACAGUGUAUUCAGCAGCUGUGCCUGUGUAUGUGUGUGUGUGUGUGUGCAGGUGUGAAGUGUGGUCAUGCAUGUGUGUGUGUGUGUGUGUGUGUGUGUGUGUGUGUGUGUGUGUGUGUGUGCAUGCAGACUCCUGAUGCUCAGAGCCCUAGAGUCUGGUUCUUGGGCAAGACUAUCAGAGAAGCCUGAUCUGCCACCAGUCUGCAUUCUUAGCCACCAUGAGAGGAAAGAAUUAGGGAAACAAGGUCACACUGUUGCUUAAGGACAGUGUUGCUCAGAGCAUGCUCCAGCAAUCCUGUGGGUGUCAGUGAAGCACACUGAUGCCCAGGUCUCACACCCAGACUUGCUGAAUCACAGUCAAGUUUAAGAACCACUGCAUUCUCAAGUGUUGUUAACUGCAGCAGAAUCUACAUUUUCAGGAUGGAGGUGGGGCAGGCAGAGGACAAUGAUGGAAAUCCACCUGGGGGAAACAUUAUGGGGGAAUCAUUAUGGUGGGAACACAUUCGGACAUAGAGGUGUUUUCUGGAGCCUCCAGAAUCCCUCCAUUUAGAGGAUAGCCUCUGUCUUCCAUGUCCAAGGGCAGAUCUGAGGGGAACAGCUGUGGUGGUGGUAGUAGCUGCCUAAGCCCUGCACCUGGAUCUGCACAGUGCUCGGCGUGAGCUGCCCGUCAGGGCCAUUGACAGUAAGGCAGAGCCAGGGUCCAGGCCAGACUGUCAUAGGUGACUGGAGAAAACUGAUGUUAGAGAACUUUCAAAGGACGAAUGCCAGGAUUUGUUGACCUUUUAAAGAAAAUGGGAAUGAAAAGAAUGAGAAGAGAAAGGAACCCCAACUUCAGGGGCAAAAAAAAUACAUUUGGCUCUAAUAAUGUGGGAAUCAGUUUUGGAGGGUCACUCCUUUGCUGAGCUCUCCCAAUUCCUCUGCUUUUUCAGCCUCUGUCAUCUCUUCUUAAGAGAGCACAUCUGUUCAUGUCGUUUUAAAAAGCAGAGUCGUGUUUGUGCAGCUGAUUGGCUCUCAUCUUUGUAGGAGGGCAGCUCUGCUUGUUUCUAAAGACCUAGUCAGCUGCACAUUGAGAAUUCACCAUAAUAUCAAACCAAUCCUGUUGCAAACCAAAUCACAAGCUCUGCAGCCAGGUCUUCUUCUGUUCUGUGGUCUAUGAACUGGUAGGGAGGAGAAGGACCAGGGAAGAACAGGGACUUAAGGGACAACCAAAGGCAAUUUCUAGGGUCCAGGGAAAGAGCCCUGAGGAGCCGUGAUAGAUCUAGAUCUCCUUCUCUCAUCAUGGAAGGUCUGUGUUCGAAGUGAGUGAGGAUACACAUCUCAUGUGUGUAUGUUUUUGUGUUAGGAAUGAACCAGAAACUCUUUCCCGGAAUGAAUCAUGCUUAAAUAAUACUUAAGAGACCCUGUUUUUGGCUAUCAUCAGUUGGCAGUUGUGGCCGUCAGCCUCCAAGAUGAUCACCAAAUCCUGGCCUCCUGGUAUUCAUACUUUUGUAUAGUUACUUUCCCUAGUGAACAGGGCUGACCUCUGUUACCAAGUGGAUAUUGCAGGAAGAGUUGGGUAUGACUGCGAGCCCAGCUCAUGAGAGGCAUGGUGACUUCCCCCUUGUUUCUGGGAUGGCUCCUUCUGGGAGAAGCCUUGGGAGGAGAAGUCAUAAGCACAGUCAACCAGUACCAUGGAGAGGUCCACGUGAGGAGAAGCUGAGGCCUCCCUCCAACAGCCAAGUGAAUGGUGAACCAUCUUGGAAGCGGGUCCUCCAGCCCCUACAAAGCCUUCAGGUGACCGAAGGCCAGGCUAACCCCUUGACACAGUAUGAUAAAGACCUUAAAGAAGAACCAUCAGCUCAGAAUGCUCCUGUAUUCAUGACCUACAGAAACUAUGAAGUAAUAAAUGCUUAUGAUUUUACACUGUUUCAGAAUAACUUGUUAUAUAUCAAUUGAUAACUGAGACAGAAAUACUAAAAUAAAAUGCUAAUGAAAUCUGAUAUCCAAACCAAAUCAUAAAAUGUUUGUGGAUGUGCAGUGUUAUGUUUAUUUAUACAACAAGAGUAAUCCUAUGUUUUUCUGAUCUUUUGCUCAAGCCAGGGCCUAAUGCCCCCCUCUUCUUGAGUUAGUUCAGUGUGAGGACAACUCAUUUCAUAGUCAAAGUCUCUGAGAGCAGAGGAGAUGUACCAGAUUCAUUACGUACUGGUUUGUAAUACAGUGUAGCUUAACACUUUCACUCUAGUGCCCCAGCCCAAAAUCCUCCUAGGUCUGAGAAGGAUCACAGAUAAGCAGUCAAAUAGGAGUCAUCCGUUGAUCUAGAAGGUGAGUACCCCUUCUCCUUUUCUUGUUUUGCUGAAUAACUUAGUAGUGGAGAGGAAUAGUAGAGAGAAUACUGAAAUCCACUUUAAAUUUUUAAAAAAUCUUUUUAAAAAUUGACAAAUAAUAAUUAUACAUAUUUAUGGGAUAUAGUAUCAUGUUUU